rnacentral:rRNA from 1 species
GAGUUUGAUCCUGGCUCAGGAUAAACGCUGGCGGCGCACAUAAGACAUGCAAGUCGAACGGACUUAACUCAUUCUUUUAGUUUGAGAGCGGUUAGUGGCGGACUGGUGAGUAACACGUAAGCAACCUGCCUAUUAGAGGGGAAUAACAGUGAGAAAUCAUUGCUAAUACCGCAUAUGCUAACAGUAUCGCAUGAUACAGUUAGGAAAGGAGCAAUCCGCUAAUAGAUGGGCUUGCGUCUGAUUAGUUAGUUGGUGGGGUAACGGCCUACCAAGACUACGAUCAGUAGCCGGACUGAGAGGUUGAACGGCCACAUUGGGACUGAGAUACGGCCCAGACUCCUACGGGAGGCAGCAGUCGGGAAUAUUGCGCAAUGGAGGAAACUCUGACGCAGUGACGCCGCGUAUAGGAAGAAGGUUUUCGGAUUGUAAACUAUUGUCGUUAGGGAAGAUAAAAGACUGUACCUAAGGAGGAAGCCCCGGCUAACUAUGUGCCAGCAGCCGCGGUAAUACAUAGGGGGCAAGCGUUAUCCGGAAUUAUUGGGUGUAAAGGGUGCGUAGACGGAGAAACAAGUUGGUUGUGAAAUCCCUCGGCUCAACUGAGGAACUGCAACCAAAACUAUUUCCCUUGAGUGUCGGAGAGGAAAGUGGAAUUCCUAGUGUAGCGG